UUAAGCGACUAAGCGUACACGGUGGAUGCCCUGGCAGUCAGAGGCGAUGAAGGACGUGCUAAUCUGCGAUAAGCGUCGGUAAGGUGAUAUGAACCGUUAUAACCGGCGAUUUCCGAAUGGGGAAACCCAGUGUGAUUCGUCACACUAUCAUUAACUGAAUCCAUAGGUUAAUGAGGCGAACCGGGGGAACUGAAACAUCUAAGUACCCCGAGGAAAAGAAAUCAACCGAGAUUCCCCCAGUAGCGGCGAGCGAACGGGGAGCAGCCCAGAGCCUGAAUCAGUGUGUGUGUUAGUGGAAGCGUCUGGAAAGGCGCGCGAUACAGGGUGACAGCCCCGUACACAAAAAUGCACAUACUGUGAGCUCGAUGAGUAGGGCGGGACACGUGGUAUCCUGUCUGAAUAUGGGGGGACCAUCCUCCAAGGCUAAAUACUCCUGACUGACCGAUAGUGAACCAGUACCGUGAGGGAAAGGCGAAAAGAACCCCGGCGAGGGGAGUGAAAAAGAACCUGAAACCGUGUACGUACAAGCAGUGGGAGCACAGAGCAAUCUGUGUGACUGCGUACCUUUUGUAUAAUGGGUCAGCGACUUAUAUUCUGUAGCAAGGUUAACCGAAUAGGGGAGCCGAAGGGAAACCGAGUCUUAACUGGGCGUUAAGUUGCAGGGUAUAGACCCGAAACCCGGUGAUCUAGCCAUGGGCAGGUUGAAGGUUGGGUAACACUAACUGGAGGACCGAACCGACUAAUGUUGAAAAAUUAGCGGAUGACUUGUGGCUGGGGGUGAAAGGCCAAUCAAACCGGGAGAUAGCUGGUUCUCCCCGAAAGCUAUUUAGGUAGCGCCUCGUGAAUUCAUCUCCGGGGGUAGAGCACUGUUUCGGCAAGGGGGUCAUCCCGACUUACCAACCCGAUGCAAACUACGAAUACCGGAGAAUGUUAUCACGGGAGACACACGGCGGGUGCUAACGUCCGUCGUGAAGAGGGAAACAACCCAGACCGCCAGCUAAGGUCCCAAAGUCAUGGUUAAGUGGGAAACGAUGUGGGAAGGCCCAGACAGCCAGGAUGUUGGCUUAGAAGCAGCCAUCAUUUAAAGAAAGCGUAAUAGCUCACUGGUCGAGUCGGCCUGCGCGGAAGAUGUAACGGGGCUAAACCAUGCACCGAAGCUGCGGCAGCGACGCUGAUGCGUUGUUGGGUAGGGGAGCGUUCUGUAAGCCUGCGAAGGUGUGCUGUGAGGCAUGCUGGAGGUAUCAGAAGUGCGAAUGCUGACAUAAGUAACGAUAAAGCGGGUGAAAAGCCCGCUCGCCGGAAGACCAAGGGUUCCUGUCCAACGUUAAUCGGGGCAGGGUGAGUCGACCCCUAAGGCGAGGCCGAAAGGCGUAGUCGAUGGGAAACAGGUUAAUAUUCCUGUACUUGGUGUUACUGCGAAGGGGGGACGGAGAAGGCUAUGUUGGCCGGGCGACGGUUGUCCCGGUUUAAGCGUGUAGGCUGGUUUUCCAGGCAAAUCCGGAAAAUCAAGGCUGAGGCGUGAUGACGAGGCACUACGGUGCUGAAGCAACAAAUGCCCUGCUUCCAGGAAAAGCCUCUAAGCAUCAGGUAACAUCAAAUCGUACCCCAAACCGACACAGGUGGUCAGGUAGAGAAUACCAAGGCGCUUGAGAGAACUCGGGUGAAGGAACUAGGCAAAAUGGUGCCGUAACUUCGGGAGAAGGCACGCUGAUAUGUAGGUGAAGUCCCUCGCGGAUGGAGCUGAAAUCAGUCGAAGAUACCAGCUGGCUGCAACUGUUUAUUAAAAACACAGCACUGUGCAAACACGAAAGUGGACGUAUACGGUGUGACGCCUGCCCGGUGCCGGAAGGUUAAUUGAUGGGGUUAGCGCAAGCGAAGCUCUUGAUCGAAGCCCCGGUAAACGGCGGCCGUAACUAUAACGGUCCUAAGGUAGCGAAAUUCCUUGUCGGGUAAGUUCCGACCUGCACGAAUGGCGUAAUGAUGGCCAGGCUGUCUCCACCCGAGACUCAGUGAAAUUGAACUCGCUGUGAAGAUGCAGUGUACCCGCGGCAAGACGGAAAGACCCCGUGAACCUUUACUAUAGCUUGACACUGAACAUUGAGCCUUGAUGUGUAGGAUAGGUGGGAGGCUUUGAAGUGUGGACGCCAGUCUGCAUGGAGCCGACCUUGAAAUACCACCCUUUAAUGUUUGAUGUUCUAACGUGGACCCGUAAUCCGGGUUGCGGACAGUGUCUGGUGGGUAGUUUGACUGGGGCGGUCUCCUCCUAAAGAGUAACGGAGGAGCACGAAGGUUGGCUAAUCCUGGUCGGACAUCAGGAGGUUAGUGCAAUGGCAUAAGCCAGCUUGACUGCGAGCGUGACGGCGCGAGCAGGUGCGAAAGCAGGUCAUAGUGAUCCGGUGGUUCUGAAUGGAAGGGCCAUCGCUCAACGGAUAAAAGGUACUCCGGGGAUAACAGGCUGAUACCGCCCAAGAGUUCAUAUCGACGGCGGUGUUUGGCACCUCGAUGUCGGCUCAUCACAUCCUGGGGCUGAAGUAGGUCCCAAGGGUAUGGCUGUUCGCCAUUUAAAGUGGUACGCGAGCUGGGUUUAGAACGUCGUGAGACAGUUCGGUCCCUAUCUGCCGUGGGCGCUGGAGAAUUGAGGGGGGCUGCUCCUAGUACGAGAGGACCGGAGUGGACGCAUCACUGGUGUUCGGGUUGUCAUGCCAAUGGCACUGCCCGGUAGCUAAAUGCGGAAGAGAUAAGUGCUGAAAGCAUCUAAGCACGAAACUUGCCCCGAGAUGAGUUCUCCCUGACUCCUUGAGAGUCCUGAAGGAACGUUGAAGACGACGACGUUGAUAGGCCGGGUGUGUAAGCGCAGCGAUGCGUUGAGCUAACCGGUACUAAUGAACCGUGAGGCUUAACCUU
rnacentral:rRNA from 1 species